rnacentral:rRNA from 1 species
UACGAAGGGGGCUAGCGUUGCUCGGAAUCACUGGGCGUAAAGCGCACGUAGGCGGAUUCUUAAGUCAGGGGUGAAAUCCUGGAGCUCAACUCCAGAACUGCCUUUGAUACUGGGAAUCUCGAGUCCGGGAGAGGUGAGUGGAACUGCGAGUGUAGAGGUGAAAUUCGUAGAUAUUCGCAAGAACACCAGUGGCGAAGGCGGCUCACUGGCCCGGUACUGACGCUGAGGUGCGAAAGCGUGGGUAGCAAACAGG